AAACUACUCCCUCCGUUCGGAAUUACUUGUCUCGGAAAUGGAUGUAUCUAGAACUAAAAGACGUCUAGAUACAUCCAUUUUUGCGACAAGUAAUUCCGAACGGAGGGAGUAGUUA
rnacentral:pre_miRNA from 1 species